rnacentral:rRNA from 1 species
GCCUUCGGCCACACCACGUUGAGUACGCCGGUUCUCGUCCGAUCAUUGAAGCUAAACAACGUUGGGCGCGGGGGUACGUGGAAGGGAGACCGCGUGCGAACACUGGGUGUUGA